AAGCCACUGCAUGCCCUUCCAGACUGUGGAAGCUUUGUUCUUUUGCUGUUUGUAAUGAAUCUUGUUACUGCUCACUCUUUGUAUCUACACUGUCUUUAUGAGCUGUAACACUCACCACGAAGAUCUGCAGUUUCACUCCUGAGUCAGCAAGACCACGAACCCCUUGGAAGGAAGAAACUCUGAGCACAUCCAAACAUCAGAAGAAACAAAUUCUGGGCAGGCCGCUCUUAAGAACUGUAACAUUCACUGCGAGAGUCUGUGCCUUCAUUCUUAAAGUCAGUGAGACCAAGAACCCACCAAUUCCGGACACAAGUCUACAGCAGCCAGCCGGAAAAGUCAGCAACAGGACACUGGUUCUUGAACAAGCCCAGACCACGGAGUUCAGCCCAGGCAUUAGAGCUCAGUUAAGACCAUAGAGCUCAGCCCAGCCCAGCCAAGCAUAGCCCAGACUAUGGAGCUCAGCCCAAACCACAGAGCUCAGCCCAGCCCAGCCAAGCAUAGCCUAGACUACAGAGCUCAGCCCAACCCAACAGAGCACAGCCCAGACCACAGAGCUCAACCCAGACCAGCCAAGCACAGCCCAGACCACAGAGCUCAGUUCAGACCAUAGAGCUCAGCCCAGCCAAGGAUAGCCCAGACCGUGGAGCUCAGCCCAGACCAACCAAGCAUAGCCCAGCUCACAGAGCUCAGCCCAGACCACAGACCUCAGCCCAGCACAACAGAGCACAGCGCAGACCAGCCAAGCACAGCCCAGACCAUGUAGCGCAGCCCAGUCCAGUCAAGCACAGCCCAGACCACAGAGCUCAGCCCAGACCAGCUAAGCUCAGCCUAGACUUCCCAGCUCAGCUUGCCAAUACUUAAAGUCUGAAAAUAGUAUAUGAUAUUGUUUCAGGCCCCUGUGUUUAGAGGUGGCUGGUACACAGCUCAGCUUCCUGGGACACCUCCCCCACUAGCCCAGCUCUCUGCAGAGUUGUGGUAGGUUCUGCCUUUACCCUCCAAGGUCUCCAAGUGUUUAGGAGCACCCGUUGGAAGUACGCUGUCUGCCACAGCCAAGCCUUUGCUUGAGCCUGCCUCACCCCCAAGCUCCCCUAACUUGCAGUCAUUGCCCCUCACUGCCCUGCUCUGGAGCUGGCCCUGUCAUUAACUCACCAGCCAGGUCUCACUAACUUCAGCUCUUUGGGAGCAGAGCCAUGGGAAUGAGCCUUGUCUUCCCAGAGGGUACCUGGCUGUGUUCAGAUUG
rnacentral:lncRNA from 10 species